rnacentral:rRNA from 1 species
UAUUAUGUAUAUAGCCCUAUCGCUGUAGCAGCUCUCGUCCUCUACUUCCUUGUCCUAACCAGGGCAUUUGAUAGGGAGCAGGUUGUUGGGUGGCUGCCUGUUGGGAGCUACCGGAAGAACAAACAGCCCGCCAAUGCCACAGAGACCAAGGCGGAGAACAAAGGUAGAAGCGAGGCAGGAUGGUGCUAUGUCAAGGUCAGCAUGAAUGGAGCCCCAUACCUAAGGAAGGUUUCUCAAAGAUACACAAGUUGCUGGAGGUUUGGAAGAUCUACAAGUUGGUGCAGUCAUAAUAUAUAUGUAAUAUGCCUUGUUUGUUGA